rnacentral:lncRNA from 1 species
AGGGCAGAAGCCAGCAAAUGCCCAUUUCCCUCUAGCUCUGCAGCCCUUACCAGCUGCUCAGUAAAACACACAAACACACAAGCACGCGCGCACACGCGCAGGCAAGGGAGAUGAGACAGCUCAGUCCAUAAGCCUUCAGGGUGCUGCUGCUGCUGCUGCUGCUGACUCAUCCUUCCCCACUCGCCCAUGUAGGUGGGGGAAACGAGAGGAAUGGGUGGCAGGGAGAGAGGGGGGGGGUGAUCCUUCCCGCGCAGUCCUCAGCAAGCAUAAAGCGCCCUUUACGCUAGAAACAGGAUGAGCCUAAGGCGACUGCCGUGCAGAAAUGUGGCUUGGUUUGGCACGCACUCGCUUCAGGGCAGUCGAAGAAGCCGGAGCUUCUUCCUCUCCCUCUCGGUAUUACGGGUAUUUUCAGCCUUGUUAGAUGAUGCCAAAGACCAACAAUUUCUGAGAUCACACAUUAGGAAUAGUCGUCAAGAAGGGAUCUGACAAACCAGGAAGCUUUCAAUGUGUCUUGAUACUGUCAAACAGCCCAUACUGAGCUCUGCAUUUACUUCUGCCUCAUGGAUGUGAUCAACACUAGGAUCAGGACCUGUCAUUAGGCAGAGUGAAGUCACCUCAGGCAGAAGAUUUUGGAUGUGAUGAAAGGGCAGCAAACGGUUGGUGCUUUCUUUUUGCUUUUUUUUUUUUGGCAGAGAUGGGUAAUGUACUUGUGAUUUUUUUGUGUCUCAGAUUUGCUGGUCUAGGGUGCAGUGCACUGUGACUACAAUACACUUUAGGCAGCAAGAAUUAUUGGGUCCACCCUGCUUGUGGGGAUUGGAGUACAAAAAGCUCACUUUGGAACCCCCCCUUGCCUGCAAAAACAG